rnacentral:lncRNA from 1 species
AACUUUUGUGGAUAUGAGUUGAACCUUUAGGAUAUGAAUUGAACCUUUAGGAUAUGAAUUGAAAUUUUUGGAUUAUGUAUUGGAAUUUUAGUUUAUAAAUUGAAAUUUUAGGAUAUGACUUGAACUUUUGUGGAUAUGACUUGAACCUUUAGGAUAUGAAUUGAACCUUUAGGAUAUGAAUUGGACUUUUAGUUUAUGUAUUGGAAUUUUAGUUUAUAAAUUGAAAUUUUAGGAUAUGACUUGAACUUUUGUGGAUAUGAUUUGAACCUUUAGGAUAUGAAUUGAACUUUUAGGAUAUGAAUUGAAAUUUUUGGAUUAUGUAUUGGAAUUUUAGAUUAUAAAUUGAAAUUUUGGAUAUGAAUUGAACUUUUGUGGAUAUGAGUUGAACCUUUAGGAUAUGAAUUGAAUCUUUAGGAUAUGAAUUGAAAUUUUGGUUUAUGUAUUGGAAUUUUAGAUUAUAAAUUGAAAUUUUAGGAUAUGACUUGAACUUUUGUGGAUAUGAGUUGAACCUUUAGGAUAUGAAUUGAAAUUUUAGGAUAUGAAUUUAAAUUUUUGGUUUAUGUAUUGGAAUUUUAGUUUAUAAAUUGAAAUUUUAGGAUAUGACUUGAACUUUUGUGGAUAUGAGUUGAAAUUUUUGGUUUAUGAAUUGGAAUUUUAGUUUAUAAAUUGAAAUUUUAGGAUAUGACUUGAACUUUUGUGGAUAUGAGUUGAACCUUUAGGAUAUGAAUUGAAAUUUAGGAUUGCAGGGGGAUUUUAUAGAAGGGGUUGAUGACUUUAUUAGACAUGCAGUGGAACUUCCACCAAGAAUAAUUUAGACACAGUACCUGGCAUAGUGUGCCUUUAAUUGUUGUUCUCAUUAGCAACAAUGACGAUGAGAAGGCAAUGUCAUGUGUUUCAAACAGUGAUGGUGUAAGUAGAAAUUUAACAUUUCCUAAGUAGAUAAAAGAAGAGGUUAUAGAGGAAUUCUCUACUUCAUUUUCCAAGAGGAAAUAGAAAAUUCCUCUAUAACCUCUUGUUUUAUCUGCUUAGGAAAUGUUAAAUUUUUACCUACACCAUCACUGUUUGAAACACAUGUCAUUGCCUUCCCAUCAUCAUUGUCGCUAAUGAGAACAACAAUUGAUCAAAGACACACCCUGUCGGGUAAUGUAUCCAAGUUACUCUCUGUAUCCAAGUUCAUCCCGAGUAAUAGUACCACAAGGAUAAACACCAAAGCCACCAGACAACUUUAUGAUGCCAAUGAAGUAAGAUAAGCUAUUCAAUGAGACUCGUAUUGUAAAGAAGAAGAAAGAGACUGAUCCAGAAAGGUGGGUCGAGGGUCGAGCCUCGACUAUACAUGU